rnacentral:rRNA from 1 species
UACGUAGGGUGCAAGCGUUAAUCGGAAUUACUGGGCGUAAAGCGUGCGCAGGCGGUUCGUUAAGUCAGCUGUGAAAGCCCCGGGCUCAACCUGGGAAUUGCGGUUGAAACUGGCGAACUAGAAUCUGGCAGAGGGGGGGUGGAAUUCCACGUGUAGCAGUGAAAUGCGUAGAGAUGUGGAGGAACACCGAUGGCGAAGGCAGCCCCCUGGGUCAAGAUUGACGCUCAUGCACGAAAGCGUGGGGAGCAAACAGG